rnacentral:rRNA from 1 species
AGUGAACGCUGGCGGCGUGCCUAAUACAUGCAAGUCGAACGGAGUGGCGCACGGGUGAGUAAUAUAUAGCUAAUCUGCCCCUUGCUGGAGGACAACAGUUAGAAAUGACUGCUAAUACUCCAUAGCAAGGGAUGAGACUAUAUCGUAUCAGCUCGUCGGUGGGGUAACGGCCUACCGAGGCUAUGACGCGUAACUGGUCUGAGAGGAUGAUCAGUCACAUUGGAACUGAGACACGGACCAAACUCCUACCGGAGUUGGCAGUAGGGAAUAUUGCGCAAUGGGGGAAUCCCUGACUGGGCAUCGCCGCGUGGAGGAUGACAUGUUUCGGAGCGUAAAUUCCUUUUGAUAAGGACGCGGUACCUAACGAAUAAGCACCGGCUAACUCCGUGCCAGCAGCCGCGGUAAUUG